UUUCUUCCAUGUGCAACCAUUGUUUGGGGUUGUCCUCACCAGCAAGGAAAGCAAUCAGGUCAAGGGCAGUCAAGCGUGUCUGUCUCCUUGACGAUACAAACACAAGAACAGGCUUCUCUGGGGAGUGCGUUUUUAUGGCUGUUUAAAAACGAUGACUUCUCCUAAAAUCACACACGAGUCAGCCUCCAUCAAUAUCAAGAUCAAUAGAAUGUCACGACCUUUCCUAGAGAAACCCGUGUACAACAGAAAAUUCUACACUGCCUGAAUCGGCAACACAAGACACCUCAGCGGACUCUAAACUUGGUCAGCACUGUCUCUUGUUUCCUGGCAGUUUCAGUCUCCACAGACCAUGAGUCACACAAGGAAGCUAGCUAUUUUUGCUCUCCUUCAUCACUUCCAGUUACAGUAUAGCCUAUAGACUAAAUACAGAAUCUUUGAUAUGCAAGAUACGUCUUCUUUAACUAAUACAAGCCUUUGUAGAACUUAAUUAAAGCUGGUGUAGCAUUACUCUAUAUAAUUUGCCUGACUAUCUUCACAUUAAAACCUUAUGAGCUGA